GAUGAAGAACGUAGCGAAAUGCGAUAAGUAAUGUGAAUUGCAGAAUUCCGUGAAUCAUCGAAUCUUUGAACGCACAUUGCGCCCCCUGGCAUUCCGGGGGGCAUGCCUGUCCGAGCGUCAUUUCUGCCCUCAAGCACGGCUUGUGUGUCGGGUGUGGUCCCCCCGGGGACCUGCCCGAAAGGCAGCGGCGACGUCCGUCUGGUCCUCGAGCGUAUGGGGCUCUGUCACUCGCUCGGGAAGGACCUGCGGGGGUUGGUCACCACCAUGUUUUACCACGGUUGACCUCGGAUCAGGUAGGAGUUACCCGCUGAACUUAAGCAUAUCAAUAAGCGGAGGA
rnacentral:misc_RNA from 1 species